CGCACACGCCGACGGUACGCCUUCUCCUCUCCACGCCACCGCUUGUGUUGCUAAUUCUGUGUUCUAACAACAACGCCUACCACAACUGAAAGCUUUUUUACUAAGUGCUCAGUUUUUUUCUUAAUUUUGGAAAAGAUGGCAGCAGAGUAUAAAAAAGAAAAUGAAAAUCUCCAGGUGCCGGAGCUCGGGGUACGUCCCUCAUAAACAUGCUAGCGUAGGGGAGCAGCCGGGGCCCAGAGCCCUUGGAGCCUGAUGUUGCCAGGACGACCGCAGCAGAAGCAGUCCCGGCAGUGGGUGACCAGUGACGGAUGUGGGAAGGGUUUGUCCCCCGGAAAUGUGCUGGGGGAGCAGCGCUCGACUCAGGGGUUUCACUAAGUUGCCCUGACUGGCCUCAAACUUGAGAUCCUCCUGCCUCAGCCUCCCACCAUAACUGGGAUUACUGACAUGCACCACUGCACCCAGUGGGGAGUCGGCCCUGUCCCCCUGUCCUCCCCCAGCAUGGGCUCCCUGUGUCCUGUGCUUGCCGGGCAGGCGCCUGUGUCCCGAUGACCGUCCUGGCGGCUGUCCUGCCCUGCCACCCCCACCCCCCCGACGGCUGGGACCUGAAGCCCACGGAGCUGACUGUGAACCUGGUGUGGCAGAGACACGGACAGAGGGAAGGACAGGGGCAGCAGGCCACCCAGCUGUGCCCCAGCCGGGACACCAAAGAGGAGCGGGACACAGGCUGGGGAGCCACCAUGCCAGCACCAUCUCGACAAGAAGCCUGUGUGGCCUGGUCCUGUCCUGGGCUCCGAGUGGCACGGGGGACUGGGACUGGACCCUCCCAGACCAGGGGCCACACCCGUGUCGCAAGGAGCUGCACUGGCCCUGCAUGCUCUGGGACCUGCCUUGCAUGGGCCAUGGGGCCCGCUGGGUGACGUCAGUGGGACAGAGGCCACUUCCUGUGACUGCUGGCAGAGCCGCCCGACGAUGAUGUCCGGCAUCACCUCCCAGGAUGGGGGUCUGUAUUCAGAGCCCUCGAAUUUAACAAGAGC
rnacentral:lncRNA from 1 species